CCAUGGCAACGGACGCCGGGUUCGUGACUCCCACCGCCCCGGGAGCCGCUCGGCUGGAGGUGUCACUGCCCAGCAGGCAUGGCCCAGGCUCCGACAGGGAACCUGAAGGAGGCGUUCAGGACGCAGCUGUGCUGGAAGCUCGUCAAGAACCUCGCCGUUAUUGAACAAUACCAGAGCCACCCCAGAUAUACCAUUUCAGAUGAUCUAAAAGUUGGCUUUUUCACCACAGACCAUGCUACCCAAACAGAUACCAAUGAGAUUUUGCCAGUAAAAGAAUUAAGUUCAUCUACACAAAAGUUAAUUCAGGUUAUUACAGCCCUUCAGGUGGAUUUUAGGUUCCUUAAAGAACUGGUUCAGUUGAAGUUUGAGGACAGUCUUCAAGAAGAGUCUUCAAAAAUCGUCGUUGCUCUCCAGGACAGGAUCUUAGAGAUGGAAAAGCACUAUCAACAGAAUGAGGAGAAUAUGAGAAAAUGCUUUCAGCAGCAGUUAGCUGAUGCCAUCGCCGUCGUCAAAGGAAUGUACCAGCAAUAUUUUGAUGUAGAGGAAGAAAAAACUUCUUUGCAAGAUGCAGAAAAUGUCAAGUUGGGUGUUUUGUCAAGAAAACUGAAAGAGAAAGAAGAAAUUAUCAAUGAAUUAAGAGAGCAACUAGAACAAUGUGAAGGAUUUGAAAAACUUGACACUUUUGCCGAGGCCAGCUCUUCCAAAUUAAACUUAGAAAGGGAAAACUGGGAGCACAGAACGGAAAACGAGAGACUGCUCAAAGUCAUUUCGGAUCUUGAAGAAGAACUCAAACUCAGUGUAAAAGAAAAUUCAAUAUUAGAAGAUGAACUUAUAAGUCUGAAAGAGAUCUCAGAGAAGAAUCAGAAAACUAUUCAAAAGUUAACAGAUGCUAGAGACAGAUUAAGAUACGAGCUUGAUAGUGAAAAAGUAUUAGUUCAAGAUAUGGUCACUAAGCACAAGGAAGAAAUGGAAGCAUAUGCCAAGAACCUGAAAUCAGCCAAGAAGAGAGAGCCCUCUGUAUCUCCGUGGCAGUCACAGCCCAAGAGUGCAACAUCUUUGAGGCCAGUUUCUGCCUCCAUGAGUGUACAGUCUAUCAAAAGUAAGAAAUCCAGGACAUCACUGAAAAAAAUGCCAAAACCAGAGCCAGAAGUGGACAGUUCAGGUCCCUCUCACAUCAGCUCCAAGGCUAGACUUGAGACCACCUCCACUGACAGACAGAAGUCCUCCAAGAGUGACAAAACAAAGGACCUUUUGGAUGAAGGAACCCAUGUGAAGGAAAAGUUUAGAUCUAAGACACCAACUGCAGUACAUGAAGAAAAGAAGGUAGAAGCAACAGUCCCUAAGGAGGAAGACAAAGAAGCUUUGAAAGCACAAAUAGAAGCAUUAAAAGCUGAGUUAGAGAAUGUGAAACAGAAGUUUGAAAGAUUUAGAAAGGAAUCAGAACGAAUAAGCAAAAACUGGGAGAAGAGAUUCAUGAUUCUCAGGAGCAGCUUUCAUGCACUUAAGAAUGAGAUGUUUACCAGGCACACACUGUUUCGUCAGUUUGCAAUACUUGCUGAUACAUCCUUCAAUUAUGUUAAAUCGAACCCCUUAUUUGUGCAGUCUAAAGCAAACUUGACGGAUACCACAUCUCCUCCAGCUAGUCAUUUCCCUUCAAUAGACAAGAGGCAUGUGGACACAAUGAAUGAUCAAGCAUCUUCAUCAAAAGCCUUUCACCCGCCUUUGAAGAGGUCAUCCAUACCGAAGAACGAUGCGAAACCACCUAAUGAAUCAGCACAGAGCAUCAGCCAAAGAAAGGUCUCUCUCGCCAUCCCCCACAUAUCCUGGCCUGAGUAAGGUCUGCCUCCCUGGUGAGGGAACUACUAUCACCAAGGCAUUUCUAAAGGCAAUGUACACUAUUUGAGCACCACACUCUAAAAUUCAGCACGCACCUUUUCCGGGCACCUUUUUAAUCCCUAAGGAAACUGCUCACCAGUACUGGGUAAUGGUUAAACUGGGUGAGUGGGGCACACAGACCCUGAGGGGUGGUCAAAUGCAUUCUGGUGCUCCCAGGAUCCCGGCUGUACCCGGCACCCAAGGGUGGGAAAGAUUGGACUUUCAUUAAAAAGUUUAAGGCAUUAAGCGU
ensembl:lincRNA chromosome unknown open reading frame, human C10orf67